rnacentral:pre_miRNA from 1 species
UGGAGGAACAACCGCAGUGGCAGGGCCAGCCCUGGAGCCCUGGAUUCAGCCCCGCAGUAACUCCAGAGCUCUCCGUCUGCAGGGCCUGGAGGCUCCGGGGCGGG